GCGCGGAGGAGGAGGCUGGCCGAAGAAGAGGAAGGGCCGCCAGCUCCGGUUCCCGGAUGCCAUCAAUAAUGGAGCAGGCUGCAGAGCUGUGUGCGGGCGGGGCAGCUGGGCCAGGCCGCCUGACUGGGACUGCGGCUCCAGGCUGCAGGGGAAAAAUGCGGCAGCAGAGACAGGAAUGGCUCUGCCGUGCUCCCAUGGGCAGGGCGGGGGAGCAGAAACGCGCCGGAGGGGAGCAGGGCGCUGAGCUGAGUCUGGGCUCACACCCAGGUUACUCCUGGGGAAGAACUCCAGCCUCCAGGAGCCAGAGGGGGAGAGAGAAAGGGGAAACAGUGCUUCUCCAAACGCUCUCCCUGCCGGCCCAGGCACAUGCCACAGCAGCACCCACUGCCCCCUGGACACCCGCUGCAGCACUGACCCCCACACACCCCAGUCACCCUUUGGCAAGGGCACACGGGAAGCAGCAUACCCCUCCGGCCAGGGACACCCCCUGCAAACAUCUUCCUGCAGACCCUGGACCCCUCAGUAUUUAAUGUAGCCUUUCAUCCUCCAGUCUCCUUCCUCCUGCUGUCCAUUUGUCUGACCCCCUGUGCAGAGCUCCCCUCUAGCCUCUGUGGCACCCAGAGGAGUCUAGCUGCCUUCCCCCGUCUCUCCCUUUGGGGAGCUGUGGCCCCAGCAUGGGCGGUUUGUUGUUCACUCUGGGCAAGAACCACCUAGACAACAGCAAAGGCCUGGCCUAGCUGUGUUGCCUGGAUUCCCAUUUCCUUAGGCAAAGUGGAGGCAACAGGAAUGGGGGACUCCUCGCGCCCGCCCUUGCAGAGGCCAAGGGGCAAGGAGAAGGUGCAGGACUCUCACCCUUUGUAGUCCCCUCAACGUGGGAGGGGGAGUCUAUAGGCACCAAUAAUAACCUGGUUUUAAAAAGGGACUGCAACGGUCUAGUUUCUUUAUUCCCAAACCUGGACUUCUCUGGGACCUGCCUGCCACUGGGAGGUGUGAUUGACAGGUGACAGAGCCUGGGUUUGGCCUGACACGGCUGUCCCUGAAGGCAGGGCAGAAGCACUGGGGGAUGGUGGGGGAUACUCCAGUCCAACUAGAGCAGCAAUCACGGUGAUAUUUAUUUGCACUUCAGUGGUGCAGAGUGAUAAUAGCAGUGAAAACCCCUGUGCACUAUUGUGAGCCUUUGGCGUGUGGAUAUGGGGUGUGUUGCAAACAGGACAGGUAACUGCAGUGCCAAAUUCCUGUAAGACACGUAAGGUUUACGGGGAGGGAUCCAGCAGGGCAGGCCUGGGCAUUGGAUGAUGGUUGCAAUGCAGGCCUUUUAAAAAGCUGCAAGGCAAAGCCGCAGGCUGCUGUUAUUUUAGAGCCUGUUGCCUAUCUCUCCCACCUGGAUAGGCCCCCUCCUCAAAGCACACACAAGGGAACCAAACUGCAGCCGGUGGGCCUUGCUCUGUCCUGCAGAUGUGCCUGACAGAUGUAAAAAGCGCCCUGCUCAUGUUCAGCAGGGCCACACUCACCUACAAAACAGUCUGGGAGGAUGAAGGCUACCAGUCUCUGCUUUUCUGGCACAACUGAUUUUUCUCAGGAGGCCUACGAACACAACCCGAAACCCAGGGAGAAGGGGCUUGUUGCAGAGCAUUCAUCUCAGCCUGUCACUUUAUCUCGUGAACUUGGACUGGGGGCUUGUUCUGUGUUGUCCCCAUUUUAAUCCCUUGCCCUGGAGGCCGCAUACUGCCCAGCUCCUCUGCGGUGGGUCUUCACAAAAACUUGUCAAUGCCACCCCUCAGUCAGCCAGAGGAGACACUGUUGAGCUAUGCAAAGCAUUCCCUGCUCCCCAGCACCUGGAGACAAGCAGGAUAUUCUCUGUGGCAAUGACUUAGGAUUUGUUAUAAGAUGGGGAGCUCUCUCUCAAGGUUAUUAAUAGAUAGGAGAACUUGCUUGGUGCAGUCACAGCAGGCAACUUAUUGCCGCUGUGCCAUGCUCAGAUUUCAAAUGGGGCAGACUAUCUUUGUAGCUAUAGAGAGGUUCACUUGGGUGGAAGCCCUGUUUGCUACCUGUCAUGCUACCUCCUAAAGGUUUGCAAAAUGGAUGAGAGAAAGGAAACCCGCACCUCCUUCCCCUUCUCUGCAGAGUUUGCAGGGCUUUUUCUGUUGUCCCGUAUCUUAGCACUCAGGCCUUGUCUGCAUGAUGCUUUUUUCCUCAGAUUUCCCACUGCUGCUACUACUGGUGGAAGUACAUUGACAGCAGGCAACUGUGAGAACGUUAAGGGGAAAACAAGGCCAGUGCAGACGCACGCAGAAUCACGUGAAUGUGUUUGUCUGGCGCUUUGAGAACAUGCCAGCAUUCUUCACUUCCCUCACAGGAUCUGCAACUGGCUCUAGCUAGAUGGGUUCUUAUUUUAUCUAGAUUUUGUGCAAUGACUAACAAAAGGGGCAGGCCGAGAAGAACUGAAGACCUUUCAGAGGCUUAUAAAACAAAAAUGGUCCAUUUUUCACUAGGCCAAAACUUUGGCUCCAUUUCCUCUCUCGUCCCACCUCCAAACUGAAAUAUGUCUGAUCUAAUCUCUUGUGCGGCUCAUUCUAAAUAAUCCUAUUUCCUGUUGUUUUUCUGAGUGGGUUAUGAGUAACCUCACUGCUCUCUCCCCACAGGCUGCAAAGAGACCUCUGUUUUCACACAGUGGCUGCUUCUACACUGGCAAAGCUGGAGACAUUCACUACCCCACCCCCCUUCUCACUGCUGCAGGGCUGCUGGUGGAAGUGAGAGCUGUAGACAGGGCUCAGAACUCCAUCAACCCCAACGGAGUUGCGGAAUCGACAGGGAGAGCCGCGAACAUUGAUCCCGCGCGGUGAGGACGGGGGAACUGUGAGGCUGAAUUCAUUAAAGUCUGGGAAGCAUCUUCAGAUGCUGGGUGCAAGGUGCUGGGGAAGGGCAGAGGGUCGUGAUUACGCCAAGAGGUAAAGUCUCAGCGGAUGCAGCAGCGAGAUCAAUGAACGCCCCGCAGUGUGCUGUGGAAUCAAAUCCAUGGUUCCAGCCCAAGGACACAGGAGCCCCAGAGACGCUUGCUCUCUAAUUAGAUGUGCAGCUUCAGGAGCAAUAAGAUUUUCCAGCUGCCGGAUCCAGGCCCCCACGGCUGGGCCUGGGUUCCCGUCUCUCACACACACACGUUCCAGCCAGAUGCAAGCAGCCUCUGAGAUGAACCCCAGCACAGACACCCCCGCGGCUUCCCAGCCAGAAGGCAUUUGCUGCAGACAUCAGCACAGCCAAGCCUCCUCAGAGACACAUAGGUGGGGGAUGGGGGGCAGCCCAUCUGUGUGGGCCUAAGAUGGCACAGCAGCUGCUCAGGAUGCCAGCAGAGACUCACAAAACACAGUGUGUGUGUGUGGGGGGGAUUCCCCUCCCACCGUCUCCCGCUUGCGUGGACAGGAAAAAUGCAAUUCAACAUACUAUAACCAUGUACCGGAACCAUCAGAACCCAGCCCCUCCUCCCCAGCAUGUUUAUAGCAUGGUCUGUGCUGUCCACCUAGCCGGGGACAAUUCAAAUCAGAACAUAGCUGAGCCCCACCAGGGUUUAAAUCUAGUGAUUUCUGCAGCGUAGACGGGACCUGCGGACCCAGCUCCCUCGGUACUCGUAUGGCCCAUGGCACAGCAUUCCCGGCAUGCCUCACUGGUGGAUUUUUAUCCUGAGUCAGGGAAGGAUCGGCACCCUGGGGAGCUGAGGCACGAGGCAGAACAUGUGACUUGCCCACGGUCCGACAGGAGGUCUGUGACUCAGCGAGGAAUGGUCCCCCAAGACUCCCAGGCCAGGCCAGUGCCCAUCCCACUAGCCCACCCCCUUCCUACACACACAGAGAUGGCAAAGACCCCGUAGGCCAUCAGAGCUAGGGCAGGAGGAGACCCCUGAUACGCAGGGGCCUUGCCCAGAGUGUGAGGUGUGGAGUCAGGAAUUCGGAGUUAGUUGGGGCUGGUUCUGCUUUGAGCAGGGGGUUGGACUAAACACCUCCUGAGGUCUCUACCAAUCCUAAUCUUCUAUGGCUCUAUGAACUCCUGGGUCCCACUCCCAGCCUUGGCUUGCUGGGUAAUGCCAUGCCUCUGUUUUGCCUUCUGUGAAAUGGGAGUAAAACUCCUCCCUGCCCUGUGGUGGGGAGGGUGAAGUGCUUCAGGAUCCUUGGCUAGCAGGGCAAUGGAAGGACUGUCAUUCUGCACAGAGGCUUAGGCAGAUUGUCCCCGCCCUGCUCAUCUGCAGCCUGGUGGCCUGAAGAUGCAGCAGGAAAAGCUGCAGGCUAGUGAGGGGAAAGGGGCAGCAUGGGUCAGGGCUAACAGGGGACAGGAGAAGAAUGAGAACAGGACUCCUGUAAAUUGCACUUAGCCGGGUUAGUUCUGCUGGCAGCUGCCCUGGCCCUGUGGUGCAGAAUGGACCGAUUCUCCCAGAGCAAAUCAAUGCCCAAGGAGAUGAAGGAGGGGAACGCUGGGGAGGAGAUGCGUGUCUGCCAUAAGAAAGGCUUCGGGGAAGGAAGCUGCUUUGUGCCCCAGCAGGCUCGGGGCGGGGCUGCAGCAGCUGCCUGGGCCGGCAGCACAUUGAUGGGUCUCAGCAGAAUGAGUCAAGCCCUUUGUAUCCUUUUCAACACGCCUGUCACAGUGGGCAGAUGGGACCCUUCGCACCAUUGCUCUGCUUGGCGGGGGAGGCUGCACGGGGACCAAGCGUGUUGACCCUGCGUGUCUGUGCACCUGCCGGGGGUGCAUGGAGAUGGGCUCCGAGAGGAGCGCCCGCCGUGCGGUGGUUUCUGCGCAUGCAGCGUAUAGUGCUACUGGACAGGGCUGGCAUUCAGCUUUGCCAGCCCUUCCCAUAUGGGGCUAUCGCCCUGAUCCAAAUCCCACUGAAGACAAGAAAAGCCUCCCAGUGGGGCUGGUCAGGCCUCAGAUGAUACCUUGCCGGGCAGGUCUCAGCCAAGGGGACCCAUUUUUCGUCACACAAUUUGAGAAGCAAAAGGGAUUUGUUUGUUGCUGAAUCUAAAACAAAAGGCUCCUCACCACUGGACACACUGUACAAAACAUAUCACAUUUGGAAAACCCCUGAGAAGUAUCACUGUGAACAAUAAAUAACUCUAAUAAGACCGUU